rnacentral:tRNA from 1 species
GCCCUCGUGGUGCAAUGGAUAGCACAGCAGCCUUCGAAGCUGUUGAUGGGGGUUCAAUUCCCUCCGAGGGCA